GUCUAUGGCCAUACCACCCUGAACGCACCCGAUGUCGUCUGAUCUCAGAAGCUAAGCAGGGUCGGGUCUGGUUAGUACUUGGAUGGGAGAAAUGGCAAAGAGGCUUAUUUUAUAUU
ensembl:rRNA 5S_rRNA 5S ribosomal RNA